ensembl:lncRNA
CAGAACUAUGCCCUCUUCCGGGGGAACUGGGAGCGCCUGCAUAGUGUCCUCCCCCACAGCUGGAUAACAGUGCGAUAAAGGCUGGAAAACACACAUGCCCGUCUCAGCAUGCUUCUCACUCACUGUACCAGCACGCGCACGCAGUAACGGAGCGUUAAGGUGGAGGAGAGCUGCAAAUACAUUUAAAGGACAAUGAACGCGGGCUGAUUUCAGAGAACUUGGUGCUAAUCAUUCAUCCAGACAUGCCAGAGAGAAGUUUGGUGUGGUGUAGGUAGGACUGGAAUAGAUUUCUGUGUAGGCUGACGGGUUAAGGCCAACAUCUGUAAGUCCUUGAUGUCUUCAGCUGGGGCUCUGAAAACUUGCAAUAAAAAUAAUACAAUUCAAAAACAGUCAUACCCAUUACAAAAUAUCUCAUCUCGUCACUGGAGUAUUCCCAUCACUGUGAUUCUUAUGAUACCUAUAAACUCCAACAAAGGUUCUGAAUAUUCCUUUAACAUGGCAUUUUAUGAGAUGUCCACUGACCGUGUCAUGUUUUAAUUUACAUGUCAUUUUUGUUCCAAGAGUAGACAAAUUCAUAUGCAUCAGUUAGUGCGCAGGAAACAUAUGUUUCAUUUUCACUGACACCUGUUUUGAGGGUGUUAUUUUGUAUCAUGUAUGUUUCAUGCAUGCAUUUGUAAAUGCCACCUGGGUAGAUACAAAAGCAUACAAAGAUGGAAAACUUUAAUCAGUGUUAUACAUGUGGAAGUCUUUACCAUUCAGUAAUGUGCUGUGAUGUGGCUCUGUUUGAGAUUAAAAACACAUUACAAGUUACUACAAUGUAAAAUAUUUUCAUCUACACUCCCUUCCAACUUUAUUAGGAACAUCUGUACACUUGCACUUUCAUGCAGUUCUCUAAUCAGCCAAUCAUGCAGAUACAGAUCAAGGAGUUUCAGUUAAUAUUCAGAUCAAACAUCAGAAUGGGGACAAAAUGUGAUCUCUAUGAUGUUAACCGUGGCAUAGCCGUUGCUACUAGAUGGGCUUGUUUGAGUACUUCAGAAACUUCUGAUCUCCUGGGAUUUGCACACGCAACAGUCUCUAGAAUUUACACAGUAUUGUGUGAAAAACAUCCUGUGAGCAGAGGGUCUGCAGGCUGAAACACCUUGUUGAUGAGAGAGAUCAGAGAAGUCUAUAGUAAUUCAAAUAACUACAACACCAGAAGACCACAUGAGCUGAUCAUGAGCACAGACUCGCCAACAAAUUUUUCAAAUCUUCAGCUGUCCAGGUUCGGUGAGUCUCUGCCCAUGAUAGCCUGUUCUUGGCUGGCAGGAGUGGAACCCAAUGUGAACGUUGUAUGCGUUCGUCUGAACUGAUUUGCUGACAUCAAAAUGCAGACGGUGAGCACUAGCCAAUGGGAUUUCUGCUUGCGCAUUAAUUCCGUUCGUUAGUUCCGGAGGCUUCUGCUUGGUCUUAAAGCCUUCGUUUUUCGCGAAUGGCUACAUUGCGAUUAAUCGAAAUAAAUUUUAUUAAAAUGUAAUUAUUAUUUCUCUAAAUGUGAGCGGGACAUGCCUCCUCCAAGCUAUAAAGGUUUCUACACCCCUGCCCAUACACCAUCACAGCCUUGAACGAGCAUCAUUGAGCUUUGAGAAGCAUUAACAGUUUUGUGGCUUAUUUCUGCUUGAAAUGACCUUACUGUCUUAAAGUUUAGAAAAUAAUAAAGCUAUAAAGUCAUCAAUGUUACAUCUGUGGUGUUGAAGUUGCCAAUUUAAAUUGUUAAAAUGAGUCCAAGAUUUACCUCAGACUUACCUGCUGCUUUAGCUCACAGUGAUAAAUUACAACAUUAUGAAAUAGAAACGUUAUAAAAGCUUUAAAAUAUGAAGCAUUACCGCUCUAAAAUUAUAUUUAAACGUGGGAUCCACUAGCUGUAUUAUUGUGAUGAACAAAACGUGGCAGUUGGCCGGACGUCUCUUUGUUAUCUGGGAUAUGACGGCAUGGCUGUGGCAGUAUUCAGAAAAUUACACCUAGUUGUGUAUGCACGAAGACACGUUCAAUAUUUCAUUAAUUUUUGCUCGCUGACUACUUAGCAGGAUUUGCGAGGAGUCUUCCAGGUGGUUCUCACCGUGGUGUUUCCUUGCUUGUUGCCACAUAUUAGAGAGAGAGAAAAGCAGAUUUCCAUCUCUUUGUGCGUGAUUGUUAGUUGUGUCCACUUUCUCAAUUUCUUAAGUUGUUGUUGUUAAAGAUGAAGAAUAUUGAUAUGGAAUGAGUAAUAAUUGUAGUUCUUGAAACUGAUCAGUAUAAUUACUCCAUUCUCAAAUAUUUUGAAGGAAAUUUACAAAAAAUUUUAAGGAUAUCUUAAAAAUAUAAUUUGUUAGUCCAAUGCUAAUUUCUUUUUGUGAAAUAAACUUAAGUAAUAUAUGUACAUUUUAGACAAAAUUAUCUGUUGGAUUUUUAAUUGAUAUUCAGAGAUAAUUGUUAUUCAGAGAUUUUAUUAAGGUAGUUUACCUUUUUAUUCUUGUGAUAUUUACAAAGCCACUAAAUUAUUUUCGUAGAGUGAUGAUGCUGCUAACACCAUGCUUCACCAUGGGGAUGGUGAUCUUUUGGUAGGGCUUUUUUUUUUUUUUUUUUUUUUUUGCACCAUACCUUUUUGGAAUUAUGGAAUUAUGGAAUUAUUAUACCUUUUGGAAUUGAUCUCAACAGACCAUAAGGUAUGCCACAUGGGUUGGGGUGAUUUAGUUUAGCUUGGAUUUUUUUUUUUUGUGAGAAAGGGCUUCCACCUAGCCAUCCUACCCCAUAACCUAAACAUCUGAAGAAUGAGAUAUUGUCACAUGCAGAGAGUAAUCAGUACUUG